rnacentral:sRNA from 1 species
UAAUGUGUCUUUUGAAAGAUCCUAUGUGGACAGUCAUUUUAUCUGUAGUGUUGAUGUGCUGGUCUCUAAUUUGAUUUCAGUCCAAAAGAAUAUCCGCUAAGGAUGCCUUAGCCCACCCCUACCUAGAUGAAGGGCGACUACGAUAUCACACAUGUAUGUGUAAAUGUUGCUUUUCCACCUCUACUGGAAGAGUUUAUACCAGUGACUUUGAGCCUGUCACCAAUCCCAAAUUUGAUGACACUUUUGAGAAGAACCUCAGUUCUGUCCGACAGGUUAAAGAAAUUAUUCAUCAGUUCAUUUUGGAACAGCAGAAAGGAAACAGAGUGCCUCUCUGCAUCAACCCUCAGUCUGCUGCUUUUAAGAGCUUUAUUAGUUCCACUGUUGCUCAGCCAUCUGAGAUGCCCCCAUCUCCUCUGGUGUGGGAGUGAUGGUGGAAGAUAAUGUACUACUGAAGAUGUAAUGUAGCUUUCCACUGGAGUCUGGGAUUUGCAAUUCUGGAGGUUAAUCAUGCUUGUACUGUAAUUUUACUAAUGAAGUUUUAAAUUAACAACCACUACUUGUAUGAUAUGAAUAAUAUUUAGAAAUGUUACUAGACUUUUAAUCUUGUAAAGUGGUUGUGCUUUUAGAAGAAAAAUAUUUUACCCAGAGUUGCACAUGUUUUAUGAAUUUAGUGCAGCUGUUAUGGCUCACCUCAGAACAAAAGAGAAUUGAACCAAAUUUGGGAGUUUGGGGUUUUAUGUUUUGUUUUGUUUUUCUUUUCUAAAAUGAAGUAAGAUUGUUCU